rnacentral:rRNA from 14 species
CGGGGCUCAAGUCUAGAGCCGAAGCCGCGGAUUCACGAUUUAUCGUGAGUGGUAGGGGAGCGUUGUAUGUGCAGCGAAGCGGCGGUGUGAACCAGUCGUGGAGCGCAUACAAGUGAGAAUGCUGGCAUGAGUAGCGAGAGAGGGGUGAGAAACCCCUCCGCCGUAAGCCCAAGGGUUCCUGGGUCAAGUUAAUCUUCCCAGGGUUAGUCGGUCCCUAAGCCGAGGCCGAAAGGCGUAGGUAAUGGGUAUCAGGUUAAU